UACGGAGGGAGCUAGCGUUGUUCGGAAUUACUGGGCGUAAAGCGCACGUAGGCGGCUUUGUAAGUUAGAGGUGAAAGCCCGGGGCUCAACCCCGGAAUUGCCUUUAAGACUGCAUCGCUUGAAUCCGGGAGAGGUGAGUGGAAUUCCGAGUGUAGAGGUGAAAUUCGUAGAUAUUCGGAAGAACACCAGUGGCGAAAGGCGGCUCACUGGCCCGGUACUGACGCUCAGGUGCGAAAGCGUGGGGAGCAAAACAGG
rnacentral:rRNA from 1 species